ACUCCGUGACUGGUCAAUACUUUUUCACUUGAUCGAAAGCACUCGUACGUGCGAUUAAACGUAUGCCCUUAAAUAACCCGGUGGACAAAGUUUUGUCGAAUUUUUUUUUACGUUGAUUCACAAAAGCGAAAAAAAAGAUCAAAAAGAAAAAAAAGGAACGAGGGCCAACUGAUUUGUGCAACAUUUGUGCAACAGCAAUAAUGUUCUUCCCUCUUGGGUCAUCACCGUCCGCCCUAAACGCGUAUAUUCGUGCGAACGUAUGCAACGCGCGAAAUAGAUGGACAAAGGGUGUACAAUCUUUGAGAAGUGAGAUUUUCGUGAAGAAACCGUACGAGAGAGAGAGAGAAAGAGAAAGAGAGUUGGUCGAUUUACGAGAAAAACUACCACUCGUAGUCGACGACAAUGACGACGAUAAAAGAAGGCGUAGGCUUCGUCACGUCGCCGAAAACGUCCAACUAUGAUGUAUCAAGCUAAUUCGAGCGACCCUCGAAUUUCAUCCUAAAGGGAUUACCAUGAAAGGCUCGUGGGCAUUGACAAACACCGGAUUGUUAGAGAUCGUUUACCCUUUUACUUUCUCUCUCUCUCUCUCUCUCUCUCUCUCUCUCUCU